UGACGCCGUCCCUGAGGCCUCUGAAGCAAACUCCCACGAGAACCAUCUCCCUCUUUUCCUGGGGAGACUGCUGGCUGGGGAAGGCGCCUCAGGACUUUGGGAGGGAUCUGCCUGUCCUCCCAGUGUUGUGACGGCCAGGAGACGACCCUCUGGGAUCAUUGGCAGCUGGGUAGGUGGGGGGGACCUCUGCGGCUCCUCCUGGGAGAGACUCUCCCACAGCCGGGCAUAACUGCGGAGGAUCCACUCACCCUCGGGCGAGUAUGGGAAGGUGACCCCCUUCCUGUCGGUGGGGGAUGAAGUCCAGCAUUGCUGGCGGAACUCCAAUUUGGAAUGUAGAUUGGAGGACAUCCUGUAUGCUGAGUUCUGGUGCGGUUGGUUCAUUCUGUCAGGGUUUGGCAAGGAGGAACUCAAGUGCAGACAGGGAUCACAACACACAGGGUUUAUUAGAUACAAAAAAGGGGGAAAACAAAACCCACAAGGGGGAAAACACUGACUAGGGUAAAUACAAAAUAACUAAACAGGACUAUGUUGACACGAUAAACAAAGACUCAAAACACUAGAACACUAACUACAAAUAAACACUUACGGAUAUACAAAGACUUCUCAAAGGGGUGACAAGGAUACACUCUCUCACGAGGCUGACAAGUAGAAACACAUAAGGAAACAAUCUCAAGAAGGAACAAUCUCAGUGUGGAACAAUGAACCGACAAAAGACAGAGCACACUAGGGGAUCUAAAUAGGAGAACUAAUUUAGACACAACAGGUGGCACAGAUAUGGCAAUCACGAUAACACUAGGAUAACAAGGGGGGCAGGGCAAGGGAACGAGACAACACAAGCACAUGGCCCAAAGACAAGGCCAUGUGCUUGUACACAAAACACCGGUCUGUCAUGAUCCUGCCUCAAGAAUAGAGAAAAGUCAGGACAUGAAGGCAGAAUCAUGACAAAUAUAAUGACAUUUUUUAUUUAUUUGUUGAUCUUGGUAAUGGUUGGCCAAAAAAAAAAUCUCUACACAUAGCUUUCUGGAAAUGGUGACACUCUUCCAAUGAGAUUUAAGGUCCGAUAUUUCCACUCGUAAUAAAAAAAUAUGACUUCACGUUAUGUCAAUCACACUUACACACUGCCUCCGAAAUUUUCUUCCGUAAUAAUAAAAUUAGGAUGGGGUUAAAUUUUCCACAUUUUACGGAUCCGUUUGAAUGGUGUUUUUACAAUUCAGAGCCACGGAUGAUGGAUACGAAAAAAACAGUGUGCAAGGAGCUUAAUCUGAACAUUAAUAUGUUUAAGAUGGGAUCUGAAUAUAUGUUCAUUAAAUGAAUUGAAUGUUUCCCUUUUAAAUUAAAUAUUUUCAGCUGAGAUCCUGACAUUAUUGAGUUAAUUAAAUUGUCAAAAUGCAUAGAUGUACAUAAAAUAUUUGAUUUAUCAUUUAAUUAAAGUCCAUUUGUUUAUAAUAAUAAUAAUAAUAAUAAUAAUAAUAAAAAUUGAUAAUGUUAUAUAAGGUAAUAAACAGAAAGUGGGGCUCAUGGUUUCACAGGAUUUUGUGGAAACAAUUGCAUGGAAACUGCACUGCCUAAAUAUAUGAAUUGGUUUCAUAUGUAACAUUGCUUUAAACAUUGUUAAAGUAAAAAACAUCAGACAGACAGAACAACACACAGAUAGAGAGAGAGUGAGAAGAGGGUCAAAAUGGCCCUUCCAUCAGUCAUUAUUUAACUUAAAAGCUUAUUAAGGUAUAACUCACCCUUUUAUAUUUGUUUAUACACUGUUUUUCUACCUACUUUUGUAUGGUCUACUCUAUACAACGUUGAUGUUGAAAAUUUUGGCUACACACAUUUUGUAACUCUCUACUUUUUCUUCUUUUUGUUAGGUAUGAUAUACGGGAAGGUCAGAUUGUGGCUCUUCAAGAGCUGGGUUUCAGCUGGACAUCAAUUGCUGCUUUAUUUGGAGCACAAGGACCCUUUAUUUUCUUUUAAUCUCAGACAAAGAUUUGGUCUACUUUCAAGACAUCCAUUAAGUAGUUUAAGUAAUGAAGAAUUUGAUUCACUAAUACUACAGGUGUUGUCCUAAUGUAGGACAGACUUACAUUCAAGGAAGCCUUCAGAGUAGAGGUUUAAGAAUCCAAAGAAGAAGAAUACGAGAGAGGCUCAGAAUUAUUGAUCCAAUUGGAAGAGCAAUAAGUCGCAGACAAACAAUUCGUCAGUGGAUUUACAACAUUUCUUCACCAAACCAGCUAUGGCACAUUGACGGUAAUCAUAUAUUGGCCAGUUGGAAAUUCUAUUGCCAUGGAUGUGUGGAUGGAUUCAGUCGGUGCAUUGUACACUAAAAAUGUCACACCAACAACAAAGCUGAUACCGUCUUCAGACUGUUUCAGGAGGGGGUGAACAACUUCGGCCUUCCUUAUCGUGUCCGCUCUGAUGCUGGACGUGAAAAUACAGAGGUUGCAAGGUUCAUGAUCCAGCAAAAAGGCCCUGGAAGGGGAAGUUUUAUUGUGGGUCGGAGUGUUCACAACCAACGCAUCGAGAGACUUUGGGCUGAACUGAACAGAGUUCUGACUUAUCACUACAAAGAUCUUUUUCAGUUUUUGGAGCAACAUUCACUGCUUGAUUCCACUUCUGCUGUAGAUAUCCAUGCUUUGCAUUACGUAUAUCUACCAAAAAUAAACAAAGCAGUGAAUGAGUUUGUCAAUCAGUGGAAUCACCAUGCACUCAGAACAUAUCGAAACUGGACACCACUUCAGCUGUGGACAUCUGGUGUACUGCAGCACACUGGAUGUUCAUGCUACAACCUACUGGAUGACUGCGAGGACAUCUUCGAAGAGACUUUUUCAAAUUCCAGUCCAGCUGAUCACAGAUGUGACAGUACACUAACACUGACAGAUGACCAAGAAGCAUUCUUAAGAGAGAGGGUUGAUCCGAUGGAAGAUGAUGGCAACUAUGGUAUUGAGCAGUACAUCUUGGUUAAAUCACACUUGCAAAUGCUGUUAAUUUGAGUGUACCGAAACGGUAACACUUUUUAUAAUAACGUUCAGUUGUAAGUCAUUUAUAAGUGGUUAGUUAAUGAUGAACUAAUCAUUUACAAAACAUUCAUAAAUGAUUUGCAAGUGAUAUAUUAACAUUUUAUGUAGGCUACGUGUUUUGUAAACUGUGUUACAAGUCAUUUACAAGUGAAUAGUUAAUGAUUUACUAAUUAUUUACAAAACAUGACUAUGCAUUUCAUGUUUAAUACUUUUUUUGUUGUUGUUGUUGUAUGUUUUGCUCACAUCAGGUGCACAGUGGUUAAAGACUCCAUGUGUUUCAGAGAAGCUGUCUAUACCCUCCCCAGUCAGCACUUACACUGCAGUACACACUACACUACACUACACCCUACACUACACUCUACACUACAGAAGAUAACUGUCUAUACCCUCACCAGUCAGCACUUACACUGCAGUGCACACUACACUACGCUACACACUACACUCUCUACACUACAGAAGAUAACUGUCUAUACCUUCACCAGUCAGCACUUACACUGCAGUGCACACUACACUACAGUGUUCAACACCUGUAGAUGAUGUGUAAACUAUUCAUCACUUGUAAAUGUGUUACACAUCAUUUGUUGAUCUUAUACCUUAUUGAUUCUUGAAGUGGUAAUCUACGAAUGACGUGUAACACAUUUACAAGUGAUGAAUAGUGUACACUUUAGAUUAGGGGAUGCAGAAAGUGUUGUAAUUAAUUUAUUUUCAUGCGUUUACACAUCAUUGUGUUGAACACUGUUACUUACCUGCUACAAAUGAUCUGUAUGUAUACAAGGCAUUUAUAACACUUUCUGCACCCUCUAAUUGCUACAAAACGUUACAUACAAAAAAAAUAACAUAACACUUAUUAAUCAUUUAUGAAAGCAUAGUCAAUGUUUCGUAAAUUAUGUUAGUCUUACUAUUCACUUGUAAAUGACUUGUAACAGAAUUUACAAAACAUACAUAAAAUGUUAGUAUAUCACUUGUUAAUCAUGGCUACCCACAAAAUAAAUAAAUCAUUUGAAACAAAAUAUUGAUUUAAAAACAAUUUUAUUUCUUAAGCAAGAAAAUGGUCCGUUUUGCGUCCAUAGCAACGCUCUGUUGUUCAUGGCAAUGGUGUGUUUAACUUCGCAGUGGUCUGAUAUCAAGAAAUAACACACCACAUUCUACAUUAGAAUUCAACCAAGCUAUGCAGCUAAUAAUCACUUAUAAAUGACUUACAACUGAACGUUAUUAUAAAGUGUUACCAAAGAGGAUGCUUCAGGUUUAGUGAUUAGGUGUUUUCAGCUGUGUAAUCAGUUGUGAAUUAUGAGUAACGAUAAAAAAAGUCUAUCGGCUAACAUACCCAAAACAACAGGAUUCAAAUACUGCUUAACAUUUGUUUUAAUGAAAAACAAUGUUUCUAUUGACAAUCCAAACAUUUUCAACAGGUUUUGUUCAAAGGUUAAAAUCUGUGAUAUUAACAUGAUCAAUGAAAACACUGGAAAAUAUGGGUCAUACAGACUGUAGUUGGUAAGCGACAAAUAAAACUUUUACUUCAA